GCUGGUUUGCCCGAGAAGUAAAGGGGGAAGACUUAAGAUCUUCUUCACAUAAGUGCCCUUGGGUUCGAACCCUACUGCCAGAA
rnacentral:tRNA from 2 species